GUCGAUCACUGAGUUAGCUCAGUAGGGCGCGGUUAGUACUUGGAUGGGUGACCGCCUGGGAAUACCGUGUGCUGUAGGCA
rnacentral:rRNA from 1 species